rnacentral:rRNA from 1 species
UUGACCUCGAAUCAGGUAGGAAUACCCGCUGAACUUAAGCAUAUCAAUAAGCGGAGGAAAAGAAACCAACCGGGAUUACCUCAGUAACGGCGAGUGAAGCGGUAACAGCUCAAAUUUGAAAUCUGGCUCCUCUGGAGUCCGAGUUGUAAUUUGUAGAAGAUGCUUUGGGUUGUGGGUUCGGCCUAAGUUCCUUGGAACAGGACGUCAUAGAGGGUGAGAAUCCCGUAUGUGGCCGAGGCCCGCGCCUAUGUAAAGCUCUUUCAACGAGUCGAGUUGUUUGGGAAUGCAGCUCAAAAUGGGUGGUAAAUUUCAUCUAAAGCUAAAUAUGGGCCAGAGACCGAUAGCGCACAAGUAGAGUGAUCGAAAGAUGAAAAGCACUUUGGAAAGAGAGUUAAACAGUACGUGAAAUUGUUGAAAGGGAAGCGCUUGCACCCAGACUUGGGCGCUGCUGAUCACCUUGAGUUCUUCUCAAGUGCACUCGACAGCGCACAGGCCAGCAUCGGUUCGGGUGGCUGGAUAAAGGCCGUAGGAACGUAGCUCCCUUCGGGGAGUGUUAUAGCCUACGGUGCCAUGCAGCCCAGCCGGACCGAGGACCGCGCCUUCGGGCUAGGAUGCUGGCGUAAUGGGUGUAAGCGACCCGUCUUGAAACACGGACCAAGGAGUCUAACAUCUAUGCGAGUGUUUGGGUGGUAAACCCAUACGCGGAAUGAAAGUGAACGUAGGUGAGAACCCCUUUGGGGCGCAUCAUCGACCGAUCCUGAUGUCUUCGGAUGGAUUUGAGUAAGAGCAAUAC